UUUAACUUGGCAGAAUAGUGCACUAAAUUUAGGAUUUAUAUAAGUGUUAUUUAACUAACACAGUUAAAA
rnacentral:tRNA from 1 species